GCUCGGUUAACUCAGUUGGUUAGAGUGUCGUACUAAUAUCUCCUCCGGGACAUGUAAAGUGAAUAUAAAUGCGAAAGCCGAGAGUUCAAGCCUCUCACUGAGCA